GUUGGCAUCCAUUGCGCGUGCUCCGGACCGACGCGGCGCCGCGCCGGGAAGUGCGAGGGAUCGGCGUCCGAACGAACGGUGACGUACCAAUUGCCGGACUUCGCCGGAAGCUUGAAGUUCCCCACAUAGGUCGCUCCGGCUUUCAGCAGGAUCGUGUCUCCCGGCCGGGCGCGAUCCAGCGCGGCUUGCAAGUCACCUCCGGCUGGAACGGUAAUCGAAGCAGCCGCCAGAGGCGUGUCCGACCCGCCGGAUCCGACCGCAAUCAGCGAGACGAGCAGAACCAACUGUUGCUUCCAAUGUGAGGUCGAGUUGU
rnacentral:misc_RNA from 1 species